AUAUAGAAAUAUUAUUAUAUAAUAUUUUAUUUAUAAAUUUGUAAUUAUUUAUUAAUAUUUUUAAAUAUAUAACUCUUAUAUAUUAUUAAUAUAUAUUUAUUAUAAUUUUAAAUAUAUUUAAUCUAUAUAUAAAAAUUAUAAUAAUAAUAUAUAUAGUAUAUUAAUUAUUAUAUAUUUAUUAUAUAGCCGAAUUUUUUAUCCCGAAUUUUUAAUUGGUGAACAUAUAAUACCCGUAUAAAUCACGUAUCCGAAUAAUUGCUGAAUCUGUUUUUUAGCCGUAUUUUUCAACAAAUUUAAAAAUUAAAAGACGAAUUUUAUCCGAAUUAUAUCUAUACUGAAUUUUUGUCGAAUCCGAAUUAAUUAACUAUGCCUCUAGCCACCAAGGUUGGUUUAGCUGCGAUCGAUUUCAUCCGUUCAUCUGCUCGCUUCUAACGUGCUUAAUUAAUUAAUUGAUAUUUGAAGGGUAAAUAAGAAAAGUAUUUGCUAUAUGAAGGGUAUAUAAGAAAAGUUAGUUCCAGUAUAAGGGUAUAUUGGAAUGGGCAAAAUAGUAAUUUUUCAGAGAUAACGGCAACUGUUAACAGUUCACUAACGGAAUUUAACUCCAGGGGUAUAUUAGAAAGAAGUUGGAGCAUAAAAAGAGUAUUUUCAAUAUUAGCCUUCUAAGAGGGGUAAAUAAGAAAAUCAGAAACUUUUCAGGGGUAUAUAGGCAAUUGCCUCUUAAUUUAUUAUGUGGUAGGGUGGAUAUAUAUUGCUUAAAUUACAAUUUAAAGCAUUUUUGUCCAUUUUAAGUGAGUAAUUUUAAUGGAAGAACUUUGAUUGUAAUGAAAUAAAUAAAUAUUAAUUCAUGUUUUGAUUAUACUAAGAAUUAAAUCAAGGGUUUGAGGAUCAAAUGAAACUGCCCCAUAUAUAAAUGUUGAUGAAUUAUGAAGCAAUUUUCCCGGAACGAGGAUAAUAACACAAGAAUCCCCCUUUUC
rnacentral:lncRNA from 1 species